ACUGAUGUUACAUUUGCUAGCAGGGAACAAUUGACCAUCCUAGGAACUGUACACAGGAACAGUACAGAAGUUCCAAACGAAAUGUAGCAGUUACAGUCUUUGGAUUUCAGAAAGAUAUAACAUUGGCCUCCUAUAUGACAAAGAAAAACAAAGUGGUCCUGCUGAUGACCACAUUGCACCAUGAUGGAAAUAGUGAUGGGGAAACCUGGACAAAACAGAAGCCUGAGAUGGAAAAUUUCUACAACAAAACCCAAGCUGAUUUUUCUGGUUUGAGGCCCCAAAAAUAA
rnacentral:lncRNA from 1 species